UGUCUACCAUAUUGUUUCCAUAAGAAAUAAGAGCUGGAGAAGUUGCUAUUCAGAGAUCAGGAUCAAGAGAGAGAUUCUUCAGGAUGUUGGAAGAAUGUGAACACCAGUAUCAUUUCUGCUUGUGACAUUGAUUUGAGUCUUGGUGGGAACUUUUGGCUCCAUUCAUGCUGACUAGGUCAGCACAUGAAAAGAACAUAAACAUGGAGAGUGGAGCUUAGUGUACUGCACCUGGGAAGGGUGAUGAUGGCAGGAUGUCUUCAAGAAGAAUGCAAAGUAAUCUAUAGGGACAGAAAACACUGCUUGGGAACAGUUUCGGGCACAUGGGAAGGAGGAGUGGACUGCAAGGAGGCACAAG